UACGUAGGAGGCGAGCGUUGUCCGGAGUUACUGGGCGUAAAGGGUGCGCAGGCGGCCAUUGAAGUUUGCGGUGAAAUCUCCCGGCUUACCUGGGAGGGUGCCGUGAAAACUGGAUGGCUUGAGGCUCGGGGAGGGGCGUGGAAUUCCGGGUGGAGCGGUGAAAUGCGUAGAGAUCCGGAGGAACACCGACGGCGUAGGCAGCGCCCUAAACGAGUUCUGACGCUCAGGCACGAAAGCCAGGGGAGCGAACGGG
rnacentral:rRNA from 1 species